rnacentral:rRNA from 1 species
UACGUAGGGGGCAAGCGUUAUCCGGAUUUACUGGGUGUAAAGGGAGCGUAGACGGCACGGCAAGCCAGAUGUGAAAGCCCGGGGCUCAACCCCGGGACUGCAUUUGGAACUGCUGAGCUAGAGUGUCGGAGAGGUAAGUGGAAUUCCUAGUGUAGCGGUGAAAUGCGUAGAUAUUAGGAGGAACACCAGUGGCGAAGGCGGCUUGCUGGACGAUGACUGACGUUGAGGCUCGAAAGCGUGGGGAGCAAACAGG